CAGGGAGACAACAAAAUGUUUAAUAUUAUUAUUUUGUCACCUUAGGUCGAUCGGUAUCUCACGUUUUUAAUUUAUUAAAAAUUUCAUUUCCUAAGUUUUUCUAGGCCACACCCAUUAUUUUUCCUGGGCCAUUAGCUCAGGUGGUUAGAGCGCACCCCUGAUAAGGGUGAGGUCCCUGGUUCAAGUCCAGGAUGGCCCAUAUCUCUAUGUUGGGGGUAUAGCUCAGUUGGUAGAGCGCCUGCUUUGCAAGCAGGAUGUCAGCGGUUCGAGUCCGCUUACCUCCACUGAUUACCACCUCUUCCAUAAUCGGUAGAAAGGAAAUUUUUUGAGUUGUGAUCAAAUUCUGAAAGAAUCUAGCUUCCUAAUGAAAUCAUUAAGAUGCUGGACUCAUUGAAUUAAUUUCAUUGUUUUCAGAGAACCUUGACAACUGCAUAGAUUAUUUUUAAAGACAAUAAGCAUCUUUAAUGAUGCAGAUUUAUUAUUUGUGCAAAUGCAUUAAUAACAAUUCUAUUAAGCUGAUGCUUCAAUAUUUGAAGUUAUU
rnacentral:tRNA from 1 species